rnacentral:lncRNA from 1 species
AGUAGCUAGGACUACAGAUCUGCAUUGUAAGAAAAAUGAGAAGAAUUCCUUCAGGAAGAAGAAAAAUGAUACCAGAUGGAUAUGUGGAUCCACAUAAAGGAACGAAGAGCACAGGAAAUAGUAACUAUACUGUCUUGCUCUGUCACCCAGGCUGGAGUGUGGUGGUGCGAUCUUGGCUCACUGCUAGACUGGUUGGAUCCAGGUGCUGAAUUCAAUUUACUCUUGAUUUAUCUUGUGUUUGUAUUCAGAAGUGUGUUUCUCAGCUACUCAGUGUAAGAACUAAUGUUUAAGCCAAGAUGACUCUUCUGUUAUUUGGAACACAAAGCAACUAGAUUAACUUUUGCCAGGAGACUGACUACCAAACUCAUAUAAACACUGCACAGACAGCCCAUGCCGGCCCCCCACAGACACUUGCUGUCACCUCCAUGGUCUUUCUUGAGUUCUCUUAGACUAACAUUCUGUAAUUACUGCUGCCUUCCUUUCUUCCGAGGGCUGCACCCUCUAGCCCAGUACUCCUCACGCUGUCAUGUACAUUUGAAUUACUGGGAAUUUUACUGAAAAGCAGUUUCUUAUUCAGCGGGUCUGGGGUGAGGCUUGAGAUUUUACAUUUAUCACAAGCUUUCAGGUGAUAUUUGAGUAGCAAGGCUUUAGGCCACAACAAGAGUAUAAUUUUUAUUCCAGCUUUUAAAUAAUUGGACCCUGUUAAUGGCAGUGUAUGGGAGACAUAAGGUAAAGUGAGAAGAGUACUGGGUGAGGUCAAGAUUCAAUUUCCGAUUCCCUGUUUACCAGUUGUGUGCUCUCAGCUUUAAUUUUCAUGUACUAAAAAACUGGGAAAAUCAAAUGUCAGAAUGAAUGUGUACAUACUUUGCAUAAGGCAUUUAAAUGAAAGGAUUAAAUAAUCCUCUAUGAUUAACAAGAAUGAUUAUCAAUAUUUCCCAGGUAACUUAUUGUCAUCAAAACAACAAUAUCAGUAGAUAUCUAAAAAGUUAGGAUGAAAAGAGAUAAUUGCUGUAAAAUGCCCAUCACUGUGCCUAGAAUGUACAUAGAAAUACAUGUUAGCUAUUCUUAUUUUUUUUUUUUUUGAGACGUAGUCUCGCUCU